AUUGAACGCUGGCGGCAGGCCUAACACAUGCAAGUCGAACGAGUGGCGGACGGGUGAGUAAUGUAUGGGAAACUGCCUGAUGGAGGGGGAUAACUACUGGAAACGGUAGCUAAUACCGCAUACCAUAAGAUGUGCCCAAGUGGGCUUCGGUAGUGGGUGGGGUAACGGCACACCAAGCCGACGAUCCCUAGCUGGUCUGAGAGGAUGACCAGCCACACUGGAACUGCGACACGGUCCAGACUCCUACGUGAGGCAGCAGUGGGGAAGAUUGCACAAUGGGCGAAAGCCUGAUGCAGCCAUGCCGCGUGUAUGAAGAAGGCCUUCGGGUUGUAAAGUACUUUCAGUGGGGAGGCGUUACCCACAGAAGAAGCACCGGCUAACUCCGUGCCAGCAGCCGCGGUAAUUC
rnacentral:rRNA from 1 species